ensembl:ncRNA F43C9.8 ncRNA
GACAGAGGUUUCAAUGAGGUUGAAGUGCUGCUCCAAACUGACGCCGAAGGCCACAAAAACACAUCGAUCAUUUGGUGAUUGAACAGAUGAGCCUUAUAUGAACCGAGAAGA